UUCUCGCCAAACCGCGUCGCAGACAGGGCAGGAAAGGCUUGUUUCCAGCGUGGCUGAAGUUGGUUCGCAGUCCAUGGAGAGAACAAGAGCUUCCUUCUCGGCAGGACCCGCCAGCCGAGGGAGGUGCUGGAGCAGCUUUGGACCGACUUGGGGCCGCUUGGUUGGUAAAAAGCGUCCUUUGCCAGCCCAGAGUGCUGAGGUGGGAGCUUUGCUGAGUGCUGAGGUACACUGGGAUACGUGUUUUUCAGAAGAAGACCACAGAAGCAAAAUUCCAUCCUCAUCAGUUCAUUUCAAGAACACAGCUCUCAGGAAGACAUGUCACUCUUGAUGUUAACCCUGAUCACCUGGCUGAGGUGAAGCAUCGUAUAUAUCAAACUAAUUUACAGCAGAUUUCUAAGAAGAUAAAGAAUAUCAAGGAUGAAAAUGCUGAAAUUGUCUAAAAAAUAUUGAUUCAGGAACAGAAGGUAUAAUUAUUCUUUUACUCCCUCUUCCCAUGACUUCACUUUGAAUUACAUCCACUUUCCUUUAUUUCAGGUAUCAUACUACCUGUUCUUUCAUCUUGGUAUCUUAUUUCAUUAUAUUCUCUAAACUGUCCAAAUUCAAAGCAGGCACCAUAUGCAAAAAGAAAUGCUUUCAAGAACCUGGGUUUUGCUAGCACUACAAUUGAUGUUUUUCAAUCAUGAAUCAUUUAUUAUCUAUUAGUAUAGACCAAUGAAAAUGAGAAAUGUAUAACAAAAAACAACUGGCAAAAUAUUCUUCUGUCUAAGGAGGCAAAGAAAUUUAAGGAUUAUAUCAAAACAGUUGAAGGGGGUAAUGAAAUGCUGAAACAGAUGAUUGAAACUCUACCUGUUGCCUUGAAGCUCAAGAAAAAUGAAGAUGUAAUAAAUCAGGUCUUGGUAAAAAUGACCAUAUCAGCAAUUGAGGAGGCCCUGAAAGAAAUAUAAGGAAACUUGAGGAUGAAGAGCACAGGCAGCAGGAAACCAAGCAGCAGUUAUCAGUUGCAGAGGAAAAACAAAAAUUGGCUACAGAGGAAGUAGAGAAGUACAAGUGAGCUCAUCUACAAAAUGCCAGUUGCUCAUAUAUCCACUGUUAGAGAUUGUUUUGUAAACUUUUGUACAAUUGCUUAGAGCCAAGAUCUUCAGAAACAUAAAUAAAUGAUGAGAAGAUAUGGGGAAUUCACAGAAGGAAAAAAUUUACUUUUGCAAAAAGAAGAAACAUUUUAAGUUGCCAAUAAUUUAUUGAGUCCCCAUGCAAGCCAGAACUGGGGAUGCUGUAAAGAUUUGGGCUCCCUAAGGAAAGAAAUUCAAUGUAGGAGGAAACUUAAAUGAAAAUACCAUUUGACAGACUCACUUGUCACAGCCCUGGGAAAUAUGUAAUGAAUAUAAGGAAGGGUAGAAAAUCCCAUUAAAGUGAAAGCUAUUUAUACGGCCAAGACUACUACACAUCUAUUAAUAUUCAUCUUCCAGAUAACAAAAAGGUACUUAUAAGAUUGGGUACAAAAUUCAAUUCAGGUAUCUAUUCCUGAGAAGUGAACGCAAGUUUGUUUCAUUGCAUAUAAGACACACAGAUGCAGGCAAAUACUGAAAUAUUCAUCAUGGGCCACAAAAAUACAACAGAACACAAAAUGUAUUGAUUUAAACUCAAUCGCUUGCCCUACAGGACAAACAUAUUGAUAUUUGAAGAGGCUCUUCAGUGACAGUCAACAGGCUGCAGUAAUUAUCAUCUUAGACCAUGUGUCACAUCUGCCUUAAUAUCUGAAUAUUUCCCCUGUCCAAUCCUGUUUCCCCUCCUUCAUACCUGUCACAGGUGUUACCACUAAUAAAGCUUUUGUUUAUCCAAUACCGUCUCAACAUCUUAUAGGACCCACUGACACAACUCCAACCCCCGGGCACUAUACAGAGAGCACUUUAUUGUGUGUGCUGAUCAAACUCAGGCAGAAAUUAUGGUUAUGGAGGUAAAGACAAGGUUACAUGUUGUUAUAACAUUGACAGAGGUGAAGAUGAAUCCUGGAUUCAGCUGGAAACAUCCUAUAUCUAGAUCGUUUAUGGUGGUUGAACUAAUCCAAUUCAAAUAAUGUUCAGUAUUUUCCUGGUUACUGACAGCCAAAGGGGUGCUGUGUUAUGAUGAACAUGUGUCUGUUUCCAUGAGUGGCUGAUUUCUGCUGAUGGGGGAUAGAUGUGGGGCCAGGAGUGGCCAAGGGAGAACAAUGAGAAUGCGCCAUAGUUGUCCAGGAUUUUGCCGGUGUCCCUUUUCCCAAUAUUCGAUCUGUCAUCCAAUACCUCCUAGUUCAGGAAGGCUCUUGGGGAACUUAUCUGUGGGCUGAAUAUUCUUCUCAAGUCCUACAGCUCCCAUAAAACCCCUACAAUUUCCAUAAUGUGGGACGAGUUAGGCAAAUGUCAGUGAUAAUGACUCCCUCCUAUGAAGAAGGUGCUGUCCGGAAGCCUUUAAAUACCCUUCGUAUACCUCAAUGCAUUGCAUUCUGUCCCAGCACAUCCUGGACCCCACAACACCUUCCUUCCUGCCAGAAGAGGCAUCUCAGAUUGUGAAAACAUUGUGGUGAAGGGCAGAACCCCAAGGAAUUUUGGACAGGCUCUUUACUGGUUACUCCAGGGGGUCUGUGAACAUCAGCAUGACGUAACUCCAACUCUGGCAGGGACAGUAUCAGUAAAUCCAGUUCUCAUCAGAUGAUACACAGCCUCCUAUGGAAGGCAGAGUUGUCAGCAGAAGAGAUUAAUGCACCCACUCUAACAGGAUCUGUGAUGGAGGAAAGUGCAGAAUGAGGAUGUCUAAGAGAAAGCCACAGAACUUCCAUCAGAGAGGGUCAUUAGAACUCAAAAGAUUUUUAUUCUUAUUGAAAUUAAUUAAAAUUGCUAGAUCAUAAUCUAAUCUACCAAGUUACUACUUUGCUUAAGACCACUGGACAUGCUCAGCCUUUCUCUGGCAUACCUUUUCCUGACUCUUUAUGUGUAUCCUUAACCUUUGUAUUAAACUUCAAUUACCUUUAGUAUGUUCACCAUAACAUAAUUUGUGUUCUGUCUUUUUAUCUUCUCUGUCAUUCUGCUUUCUCAUUUUGUCCUCAGAUCAAUUCUCCAAACAAACCACCUACUAAGAACUGACAUAAUCCUGUAGAAAACUAUGGGGUAAAAUGAGGCUCUAAGAUGAUUAUUUUCUUAUAUAUAAAACAGACAUGCAUGUCCUCCAUUAAAGUUUGUUCUCCCAGUGAAGAGGCUCUAUCUGUUACGCUUAGAAUGCUCUGAAUGAUGCAGUGAGUUGGACUGGAUCCUUAGUUGGUAGUGAGGGGAUUUUGAAUGAGUGCCUGGAAAUUUGGGUUACUUCUGGAAUUUCAUGACUUUCCUCCUCCUUGAAUUUUGCCUGUUUUGUGUGGUCCUGCACAUGUGCUUGGACUUCUCAGGAAGGCAGCCUUGUGUCUAGAUAAUUGACACUGCAACCUCAGGGAGAUGGGCAUUUACCCUAUUUUUCUGCAAUGAGAACAUUGUUUCUGGAGAAUAGAUAUGUUGUUACCCCUUUCCUACCACCGAGAUAUGGAACUUCUUGGCAUGACCAAGUGUUGUCCAUAGAUACGCUUUUCGAAUGUGAUGUUAACCAGGUCUCAGUGAUUCUUAGUUUGGACAAGGGACUGACUUACGGUCAUGAUCUACUCACCACAUUUCCUGUUUUGGUGCAGCAUCCAUAAGACCAGUUGUUUACAGGGCAAGUAAAGGAAUGCUUUCCUCAACAAGCACUUAUGCUCUGUGGGAGAUAAUUUAUGCAUUAACCUAGUAAGUAUCUCCAAGAGUUCUAGGAAUGUGGUGAAUAGAGAUGAUAGCGACCAGUAGUAGAGAUGAUAGUCAGGGCCUAGUAGGCAAGGCCAAUUCAUCACCACAGAAGUUUCAUCCAUCCACCAUCACAGGUGCUAUGAUGGAGGAAAUGCAGAGUGAGAGUUGUCUAAGAGAGGCCACGGCCCUUCCAUGGGGGUGGGUUUGAGAAUUAAAUAAAUUAAUUCCCAUUUAAGGAUUUUUAUUCUAACUAAACUAAUAAAAAUUGACUGAUCAUAAUCUUAUUAUACCAACUUCUUACUUCUAUUAAGGCCUUUGGACAAGGAAAACCAUGGUCUUCUAUAUUUUCUCAUGGCUCUUCAUGAGAAAAGUUCCUAAUCCCCUGAGCCUCAUCCAGUAGGCCUUAUCCUUAUGGUUAACCAUCUUGAU